UACGUAGGGUGCGAGCGUUGCCCGGAUUUAUUGGGCGUAAAGGGCGCGUAGGCGGCUCGGCACGUCCGUUGUGAAAUCGCCCGGCUCAACUGGGCGGGGUCAGCGGAUACGGUCGAGCUUGAGCAAGCUAGGGGGUAAUGGAAUUCCCGGUGUAGUGGUGAAAUGCGUAGAUAUCUGGAGGAACACCGGUGGCGAAGGCGGCAUCCUGGACCGACACUGACGCUGAGGAGCGAAAGCCAGGGGAGCAAACGGG
rnacentral:rRNA from 1 species